CAGUAGCCACGGUAAUACAGAGGUCUCAAGCGUUGUUCGGAUUCAUUGGGCGUAAAGGGUGCGUAGGUGGCGGUGUAAGUCUAACGUGAAAUCUCGGGGCUCAACCUCGAAAUUGCGUCGGAUACUGCAUUGCUAGAGGAUUGUGGAGGAGAGUGGAAUUCAUGGUGUAGCAGUGAAAUGCGUAGAUAUCAUGAGGAAGACCAGUUGCGAAGGCGACUCUCUGGGCAAUUCCUGACACUGAGGCACGAAGGCUAGGGGAGCAAACGGGAUUAGAGACCCCCGUAGUCCCUGUCUCUUAUAC
rnacentral:rRNA from 1 species